AAUAGAUACCCGGGUAGUCCACGCCGUAAACGAUGAGUGCUAAGUGUUAGGGGGUUUCCGCCCCUUAGUGCUGCAGCUAACGCAUUAAGCACUCCGCCUGGGGAGUACGGUCGCAAGACUGAAACUCAAAGGAGUUGACGGGGGCCCGCACAAGCGGUGGAGCAUGUGGUUUAAUUCGAAGCAACGCGAAGAACCUUACCAGGUCUUGACAUCCCAUUGACCACUAUGGAGACAUAGUUUUCCCUUCGGGGACAACGGUGACAGGUGGUGCAUGGUUGUCGUCAGCUCGUGUCGUGAGAUGUUGGGUUAAGUCCCGCAACGAGCGCAACCCUUGUUCUUAGUUGCCAUCAUUUAGUUGGGCACUCUAAGGAGACUGCCGGUGACAAACCGGAGGAAGGUGGGGAUGACGUCAAAUCAUCAUGCCCCUUAUGACCUGGGCUACACACGUGCUACAAUGGACGGUACAAACGGUUGCCAACCCGCGAGGGGGAGCUAAUCCGAUAAAACCGUUCUCAGUUCGGAUUGCAGGCUGCAACUCGCCUACAUGGAACG
rnacentral:rRNA from 1 species